rnacentral:tRNA from 1 species
ACCUGAAUGGCUUAGUUGGUUAAGCGUCUGACUCUUGGUUCUAGCUCAGGUCAUGACCUUAGGGUCAUGGGAUAAAACCCCAUAUCAGGCU